GGUCAAGCUACAAAGGGCACAGGGUGAAUGCCUUGGCACUGGGAGCCGACGAAAGACGUGAUAAGCUGCGAAAAGCCACGGGGAGCUGCAAAUAAGCCUUGAUCCGUGGAUAUCUGAAUGGAGCAAUCCGGCGGAUGUAACGAUCCGUCAUGGCAUACUGAAUCCAUAGGUAUGUCAGGGGAACCGCCUGAACUGAAACAUCUAAGUAGGGCGAGGAAGAGAAAUCAACCGAGAUUCCGUAAGUAGUGGCGAGCGAAAGCGGAAGAGGCCAAACCGCAUGCAGCAAUGUGUGCGGGGUUGCGGACUGCAUAAGGUAUGUUGAAGUCUAGCUGAACUGUAUGGGAAGGCAGACCGGAGAGCGUGAGAGUCGCGUAAGCGAAAGACAGAGACAGCCGGCAGGAUCCAGAGUACCGCGGGACACGUGAAACCCCGUGGGAAGCCGGGGGGACCACCCUCCAAGCCUAAAUACUCCCCAGUGACCGAUAGAGAAUAGUACUGUGAAGGAAAGGUGAAAAGCACCCCGGGAGGGGAGUGAAACAGCACCUGAAACCCUGAGCCUACAAGCACAUAGAGCACGUCAAAGUGUGAUAUGGUACCUUUUGUAGAAUGGUCCGGCGAGCGUAUGUAUGCAGCAAGGUUAAGCGCUUAAGGCGUGGAGCCGAAGGGAAACCGAGUCUGAAUAGGGCGUGAAGUUGCAUGCAUAGGGCCCGAAACCGGGUGACCUAUCCAUGUCCAGGUUGAAGUGGGAGUAAAAUCCCAUGGAGGACCGAACCGACCUCCGUUGAAAAGGCGGCGGAUGAGGUGUGGAUAGCGGAGAAAUUCCAAUCGAACCCGGAGAUAGCUGGUUCUCCCCGAAAUAGCUUUAGGGCUAGCGUUGUAUUAGAUUACCGGAGGUAAAGCACUGAAUGGGCUAGGGGCCGAGAGGUUACUGAACCCUAUCAAACUCUGAAUGCCGGAUAAUUGAUGUACAGCAGUCAGACUACGUGAGAUAAGUCUCGUGGUCGAGAGGGAAAAAGCCCAGACCCACAGCUAAGGUCCCAAAUACACGUUAAGUGGAAAAGGAUGUGGAGUUGCACAGACAACCAGGAUGUUGGCUUAGAAGCAGCCACUCAUUAAAAGAGUGCGUAAUAGCUCACUGGUCGAGUGACUCUGCGCCGAAAAUUCAACGGGGCUAAACGUGUAACCGAAGCUUGGGAUUUCAUUCACUGAACAAUGCUUUUUGUCAGGCAGGAGGGAAAGAUUUGCUGCCGAAGGCAGCUAAAUUUCCAAAAGCAAACGAGAGAGAAAGUAUUGGUCAGUGAAUGAAAUGGUAGGGGAGCGUCGUAUACGGGGUGAAGUAUGAGCGAAAGCGCAUGUGGACUGUAUACGAGUGAGAAUGCCGGAAUGAGUAGCGAGAAAUAUGUGAGAAUCAUAUUGGCCGAAAGUCUAAGGUUUCCGGAGGAAGGUUCGUCCGCUCCGGGUAAGCCGGGAGCUAAGGUGAGGCCGGAAGGCGUAGCCGAUGCACAUACGGUAGAGAUUCCGUAGCUGCCGGAGGAUUUAAGCAGAGGGACACUGUCAAAGGGUAUGACCCGGGCGUUGGUAGCCCCGGGCGAAAGGGACUGAAAUAUAGUAGGGAAGCAUACUUGGCGGCAGGCGAGAAAAGCUCUGUGGAUAUCUGAGGCACCCGUACCGCAAACCGACACAGGUAGACAGGAAGAGAAUUCUAAGGCCAACGGGAGAAGGGUUGUUAAGGAACUCGGCAAGUUGACCCCGUAACUUAGGGAAAAGGGGUGCUCCUGAAAGGGAGCCGCAGAGAAUAGGUCCAGGCGACUGUUUAGCAAAAACACAGCUCUAUGCUAAAUCGAAAGAUGACGUAUAUGGGGUGACACCUGCCCGGUGCCGGAAGGUUAAGAGGAGGAGUGAGAGCUCUGAAUUGAAGCCCCGGUAAACGGCGGCCGUAACUAUAACGGUCCUAAGGUAGCGAAAUUCCUUGUCAGGUAAGUUCUGACCCGCACGAAUGGUGUAACGAUCUGGACACUGUCUCAACAGCCCGCCCGGCGAAAUUGUAGUACCGGUGAAGAUGCCGGUUACCCGCGACAAGACGGAAAGACCCCAUGGAGCUUUACUGCAGCUUAAUAUUGGAUUUCGGUAUUUCAUGUACAGGAUAGGUGGGAGGCAGAGAAGGCAGCACGCCAGUGUUGCUGGAGCCGCCGUUGGGAUACCACUCUUGAGGUGCUGAAAUUCUAACCUGCGGCCGUGAAUCCGGUCGGGGGACAGUGUUAGGCGGGCAGUUUGACUGGGGCGGUCGCCUCCAAAAAGGUAACGGAGGCGCUCAAAGGUUGGCUCAGCAUGGACGGAAACCAUGCCAGAGAGUGUAAACGCACAAGCCAGCCUAACUGCGAGAGCGACAGUUCGAGCAGUAACGAAAGUUGGAGUUAGUGAUCCGGUGGUAUGUGAGUGGAAAUGCCAUCGCUCAACGGAUAAAAGCUACCCUGGGGAUAACAGGCUGAUCUCCCCCAAGAGUCCACAUCGUCGGGGAGGUUUGGCACCUCGAUGUCGGCUCAUCGCAUCCUGGGGCUGAAUUCGGUCCCAAGGGUUUGGCUGUUCGCCAAUUAAAGCGGUACGCGAGCUGGGUUCAGAACGUCGUGAGACAGUUCGGUCCCUAUCUGUCGUGGGCGCAGGAUAUUUGAGAGGAGCUGUCCCUAGUACGAGAGGACCGGGAUGGACGUACCUCUGGUGCACCAGUUGUCGUGCCAACGGCACAGCUGGGCAGCUAAGUACGGAUCGGAUAAACGCUGAAGGCAUCUAAGCGUGAAGCCGACCUCAAGAUAAGAUAUGCCACUGAGUAAUCAGGUAAGACCCCUUGAAGACUACAAGGUUGAUAGGCCGCAUGUGGAAGCGUCGUGAGGCGUGCAGCAAGGCGGUACUAAUCGGUCGAGGGCUUGACCAG
rnacentral:rRNA from 1 species